GGGUUUCCUGCAGCCAAAGAGCCAUGAGUCACAGCAGCUGGCUCAAGGCUGGGAGGGGAAGUAAAACACUAAAUCUAAGGACCACUCUAUUCACCCUACAGUGACUGCUCUUUUUCCCUCCUGCCACAGUCCAGGGUAGGAGAUACUUCUCCAGGCUCUCACUUAUGGGGGCUUUCCUGCUGGCUACAUCACUGAAAUGGAAUCUCCUAGUGGCCCUUCUCCCUCUACAGCUCUGGUGUUACACUGAAAAACUAGAAGUUUCAAAACAGACAAGGGAAAAAGAGAAACAUCAGAAAGUCUGAUUAAAGUAGAAGCAUCAUAUUUCUAUCAACGUAUCCACUGUGCUUGGCAGGGGAUGGGCCCUUCUGCUGCAGCAUAAGAGGGGUCAUUCAAUGGCCUGUGUCAGCUACUGGGAUGGACCUGCUGUCCAUGGGAUACUGACACCCACUAGUGAAGCAGAUCUUGCUCUGUCUCUUCUCUGUGACUCUGUAAUAUUCACCGGCAGGAAAACCCAAGGGAAUGACUACUAUGACAUCUGAUGGUACAAGAACUAACAAUGAACAGAACAAAGGGGUGUGUGAUCCAGUCCUUGCUCUGUUCACUGAGCUCUGCCCAGCGGCUGGUUGCUUUCACACGAGGAAAACCUUUUUUUCUGCUCUCUUGGCACAAAUUGCUGGAGCUGAAUGUACCAGGAACAAUGCGGGAGUUGCAGAGAGAGGUGUCCUGUGUUUGUUCCCAGUCUUCCUUCACUCACCUGCACCUGCUCCUGCCCUGCUUCGGCCAACAUGUUCUAUGCAGGCAUUAUAGUAUACAUAGCCUUGGAAUCAGAAGACCAAGAACAUACAAGAGAACAUAGCCUUGGAAUCAGAAGACCAAGAAACAAUUUAACUCUGCCCCUCUAGAGCUCUGAGAACUUGGGCAAGCCUUUUACCCUCUUGAAUUUUUGCCACCUUCAAUGAGAAAGACUGAAACAAAAAACUCAGAAGAAAGAAAGAGACUGAGAUAGCAAAUAUGACAAACUGUUAAAAAUUCAUGAAUCUGUUAUGGAAUACUAUGCAGCCAUAAAAAAGGAUGAGUUCCUGUCCUUUGCAAGGACGUGUAUGAAGCUGGAAACCAUCAUUCUGAGCAAACUAAAACAGGAACAGAAAACCAAACACCACAUGUUCUCACUCAUAAGUGGGAGUUGAACAAUGAGAACACAUGGACACGGCGGGGUGGUGGGAACAUCACACACCGGGGCCUGUCAGAGGGGAGGGGGCUAGGGGAGAGAUAGCAUUAGGAGAAAUACCUAAUGUAGAUGAUGGGUUGAUGGGUGCAGCAAACCACCAUGGCAUGUGUAUACCUAUGUAACAAACCUGCAUGUUCUGCACAUGUAUCCCAGAACUUAAAGUAUAAUAAUAAAAAGAGAGAUUAAAAAAAUUGGUGAAUCUGGGCAAAAUGUACACAGGAUUUUUCUGUACUGUUCUUGCAACUUUUCUACAGAUUUGAAAUGUUACAAAAUAAAAGGUAUUUUUAGAAAAAGAG
rnacentral:lncRNA from 10 species